UACGGGGGGGGCAAGCGUUGUUCGGAAUUACUGGGCGUAAAGGGCUCGUAGGUGGCCAACUAAGUCAGACGUGAAAUCCCUCGGCUUAACCGGGGAACUGCGUCUGAUACUGGAUGGCUUGAGUUUGGGAGAGGGAUGCGGAAUUCCAGGUGUAGCGGUGAAAUGCGUAGAUAUCUGGAGGAACACCGGUGGCGAAGGCGGCGUCCUGGACCAAUACUGACACUGAAACGCGAAAGCCAGGGGAGCAAACGGG
rnacentral:rRNA from 1 species